CAAAAACAUAUUUUAUGUAGUUAGUUACAAUACAAUAACAUUUAAAUGGUUUAAAUUAUAUAAAUUUUUAAAUAAUACAAAAAUAACGUAUAACAAUAAUAAGGUAGAAUCAGUAGAAAAGUACGUUCUCAAUUUUAUAUGCCUUGAAUUGUCACAAAAAAGGAAUUUAAAAAAUAUAAAAGAAACAUCAGAAAAAAAAUUAUUGAAUUUUUUUUUGUGAAUAAAAUAAAAUUUUAUAUUUUGAAUAAAAAAAAAAAUAUUGUAAAACCAAUAAAAAUCAGGAUGCAAAAGUGUAGAAUGCUAUUUGCGAGUGCCGUUCAAGAAUCAUUUCAUGGCAGAAAAUUGACAACUCUCCCUAAUGAUUCUACCUUUCUAUGCUUGUAUCAUGGUAUUAGAUCUUGUUAAACAAAACUACAUACUUUCUUCUGAAACAAUACAAGUUAAAAACAGAUUUAUCAACUUAGUUUUAGCUAGUCUUUCAGAAUUGAAUAUGUCACAAAAUUCUACGACCCAAAAUUAAGUCUACUUGUCUCGGAGUUUUUCUGUGUUAUUUCCGUGAUUGCAUAAAUUUCGAAGUAUAAAUAAGAUCCUAAAAGCGCUAGCCGGCAGCAGUAGUUAACUAUACUGCUCCAGAAUGGUCACCUUCACCCAGUGAUAUUCAGUGGAGAAAUAUUCAAAGCUGUCCUAAAGACUGUAAUGAAUUGUCUUAAAUAAAUUGUCUACACGAGGAAACGAGGGUCGUCCCAUUCAAGGAACAUAAUGUCAUGUUGAUUAAACAGUUCUUCCUCGGAUUUCAUCGAAGGAGUCAUCCUAACUUUAACAUCACAUAGUUAGAUGCCUCAAUCGAGGCAUGUCAGGAAGGAUCUUCGAAUUUGAAGUCGAUGAGCUUUACGUGAAUACCUGGCGUGUUGCCCUAUCUCACGGUGGUACUUUUUCAACCACUGGGUAAGUAAAAAGUAAACAACUCACCACUGCACCUUUGUGUAUCAUACACGCAGGUUGCACUUUGCUCCAGUACUUGAACUUUCUAAUCUCUGAACAUUGCUGUCCCGUUGCUUAACUUCCGAGAUGUUUACUUCAGUUUACAACCAUGUAGAUGGGAUGGCGUCUGUUGAUAUGGCAACGUAGCACCUAGAGACCUCACAGGGACACACUGUGGUAAUUCUGAUAUGAACAGAGUUUACUCUGAACAUAUCUGGACAAGGUAUACGGGUGGGUGAGGCAAUUUAUAGUCCCGGCCGACUAGAGGUUAUUGGUAGCACCUAUUUACCUACGGAUUGCAAUACACCAAGAUGGGAUCUGUCAAUAAGGAUAAUAUGCGCGGGGGCAUACGGGGCGAACAUACGAAGUUAUGUGGAAAAUCCAAUAGAUCUGUAGAGGCGCCAUCAAUUCCGCAUUCGAAGAAUACCUCGUGCCCGCAGAAGAAAACCUGUCAUUUAAAACAAGAAUAGUUCUGGAACAACAAAAUCGGAAUGGCAAUAAACAUAAAGAAUAAUGGUCACUUAUAGGUCGUGAUCAGCAUGCUGCCAAGGUCUCCAUUAAAAACCACUCUAAAUUCAACUGCUCAGACAACUCUUCAUUUCACUUUCUCCAAUGUAUUUGUGAUCACAUUCUGUUGAAGUAGCACAAUUUUAAGGCCUAGACAUUGAUGUAGAACCCCUCAACUAGAUGAUUAUAUGUUUUUAGCAGCUACAACAACAAAUUUUAUACGUUCCCACGACAAUUGGAUCUUCGCUCCGGAACCACCCGAGUCAUACUCGGCCAAAGAUUGUCAACCCAGCGACAGCUGUAUCAACCGAAAGUUUUUCCCCAGGAAAGAACUAUCGCCCACAGUCUAGCUGUUACAACAACAGCAAAUUUUAUAAGGAUCUGUCUAUAAUUGCCCUAACCUACAAAAUUCACUUCUAUUCUGUAUUUCGAUUAAGUUUCCGCAUUUAAUUACGCAACGAUGGAAAAUUGGUAUUUCAAUAAAAAAAGGAAUCGAGAGAAAAAGAAGGAGCAAUUCCAUUUUAUUUUAAUAAUUUACGAUUGCGUAUAAUCUGUAUUUAAUGCAGAAUACCAAAGUUGCCAAACGGAGAAAAUUUCAAUUUGAAUUGACGUCAUUUAAUGAGGUAGGGAUUCAACAAUUUAGGGAUACGAUUUCUUCUAGACAUUUAGGCCAUGUAUCUAUUAACUUUUUUUUAAGUCGAAAUUAAUAAUUUAGUACGUUUGUGUAUCUCGACCACUGUUAGUUGGUUUCAUUGUUGAUUUUAAAUGCAUUUUUUAUUCGAAUGAAAUUUUUU
rnacentral:lncRNA from 1 species